CUAAUUCAUAAAUAAGAGCAUUAGUUGAAUAAAAUUUUGAAAAGUGUCGCCAGUCAAAGGUUCGAAUAUUCAAUAUUUUUUAAUCUUGUAUUAUUCUCAAAAUUUAAUAAUCAGACCACGAUGAAAACUUUAAUAAUUUUUUUAAUUGUCGUGGCUGCUAUCGGGGCGAUCGAAAGCUGUAUUACUAGAAAAGAUAAUGCUAAUUGCCUGAAAGAAGGUGAGCCUGUAUUGUGACCUGCAAAAUCUUCGUUGCUGUAACGGUUACGUUUGCACAAUAUUCGUCAAUGGUAGCUGGUUGUGUACUGAACGUUUCUAAUAUCAACAUAUUUGAAAACUAUUGUCUACAUUGUGUAGACUUUUUAUAAUUUUUCAUAAAUUCGUACAAUUAGAAGUUAAAUACUAUCUUCGUAAUCGAUGGUUUAAUUAGAAUGCUAUGAAACUGUUUUCAAGUAUGUUACAUAAGUAUUGAUAAAAUAUUAUUUACCAAACAAGUUUUGUGUAAAUUAAAUUUAAAUUAUGACCAUUAAAUUUUUUUUUAAACAUUUUAUCGUUUCGAAAAAAAACUUGAAAUCAUAAACUCGCAGUAAAAAAUGCAUCCAAGGUAACGGUAAUAAAAAUUAUCAUUUUGACUCGUAAAUGUUUAUUGUCAUAAAUAUGUACAUACAUUUAUUCUUUCGAAAAUUUUAAAUAUUUUUAUAUUCCGUAACUUGAAAAUUUGCUAAGUUAUAUAUUGAGUUGCAUAAAAUUUUUCAGUCCAAUAAUUUACUCAAAAAAUAAAAAAAAAAAAACCGCGGCCGAAAAAAGGCUGAAUCAAUUUUCGGCAAAAUUUCGGCUGAUUUUUAAAAAAAUUUUCGACGUGUAUUCAGCGUAAUUUCGGCUUCAGUGUAAUUUUGGCCUAAUUUGGACUUUUUUGAAUAAAAUUCCAUACAUGGUUUCGACGUGACUGCGGCCAAAUUUAGCCUUUUCGGCGUAUUUUCGGCUGAAUAUUUUGACUCGCGAUAUAUAAGUUUGUUUAGACUCGGAAAAGUAAUAUAAUUACAAUAACGACAGUUAUUUUCAUAUAUAUAUAUAUAUUUCCUGAUAUAAUUUCAAGGUAUUAUUCGAAAUAAAUCUAAAAAUAUGUUUUUAUUAUCUUUCAUGACUCACUAUUCUGAUUAAAUAUGUGUUAAAUUUUUUAUCUAUAAGUUAGACGAUUUUUGAUAUAUAAGUGUCAUUUAGUAUCGAUAUACAGUAGAAGAAACAUAUUAAUUCCAACUUUUUUAACAUUAACGCUGGAGUGAUUAUUCAAAAAUGUCGAUUAAAUUUGGUUUGGCUCUCCUUAUCGGGAUAAUGAUAGUUUCAGGUAUCGAAGGUUGUCCUUCUGAUGUAUGCUCAAGCCAAAAUCAAUCUUGUAACCAUAUUUUAAAAUGUUGCCAUGAAUAUAUUUGCGAACCAAGAGUUAUAGGAGACAACGAGUUUGUAUGUAAAGAAAGAAGUACAAAUUUAGGAUUUCAAAACUAGAUACAUUAAAAUUGAAGUUUAUUUCAAAAACUUAUUGUAAGGAUUACGAAAAAAUGGACUAUUAAUAAAUAACUUAUUUACGA